rnacentral:misc_RNA from 1 species
UUGUUUUGUUUUGUUUGUUAUUCAGACAUAAGAUGAGUGAAAAAAUCUCGGUGGAAGGCCAUCUCUGACCACUCCACCAAGCAACAGUGUAAGUUCACAAGUGUAUGAGAGAAUGUCAAAAGACAAAUUCAUUAAUGAUCCUUCCGCAGGUUCACCUACGGAAA